GGAGGGUGCAAGGCGUUAUCCGGAUUCACUGGGUUUAAAGGGAGCGUAGGUGGGCUUUUAAGUCAGUGGUGAAAUCUUUGGGCUUAACCCGAAAACUGCCAUUGAUACUAUUAGUCUUGAAUUCUCUGGAGGUAAGCGGAAUAUGUCAUGUAGCGGUGAAAUGCUUAGAUAUGACAUAGAACACCCAUUGCGAAGGCAGCUUACUACGGAGCGAUUGACACUGAGGCUCGAAAGCGUGGGGAUCAAACAGGAUUAGAUACCCUGGUAGUCCACGCCCUAAACGAUGAUUACUCGACAUUAGCGAUAUUACAGUUAGUGUCUAAGCGAAAGCAUUAAGUAAU
rnacentral:rRNA from 1 species